rnacentral:rRNA from 1 species
AUUGAACGCUGGCGGCAUGCUUUACACAUGCAAGUCGGACGAGUGGCGAACGGGUGAGUAAUAUAUUGGAACGUACCGAGUAAUGGGGGAUAACCAAUCGAAAGAUUGGCUAAUACCGCAUAACAUUCGAGCGGCCAAUAUCUGAUUAGCUAGUUGGUGGGGUAAAGGCUUACCAAGGCGACGAUCAGUAGCGGGUCUGAGAGGAUGAGCCGCCAAAAUGAGACUGAGACACGGCCCAGACUCCUACGGGAGGCAGCAGUGGGGAAUAUUGGACAAUGGGCGCAAGCCUGAUCCAGCCAUGCCGCGUGUAUGAAGAAGGCCUUCGGGUUGUAAAGGACUUUUAGUAGGGAAGCGGUACCUACAGAAUAAGCACCGGCUAACUCCGUGCCAGCAGCCGCGGUAAUAC